rnacentral:rRNA from 1 species
UGGGGAAUAUUGGACAAUGGGGGAAACCCUGAUCCAGCAAUGCCGCGUGAGUGAAGAAGGCCUUCGGGUUGUAAAGCUCUUUUGUCUAUGAAGAUGAUGACGGUAAUAGGCGAAUAAGUCCCGGCUAACUUCGUGCCAGCAGCCGCGGUAAUACGAAGGGGACUAGCGUUGUUCGGAAUAACUGGGCGUAAAGGGCGCGUAGGCGGUGUAAUAAGUCAUAUGUGAAAGACCUGGGCUUAACCUAGGAGGUGCAAGUGAUACUGUUACGCUAGAGGAGAAGAGGGGAGAAUGGAAUUGCGCAUGGAGAGGUGAAAUUCGUAGAGAUGCGCAGGAACACCGGUGGCGAAGGCGAUUCUCUGGCUUCUAACUGACGCUAAGGCGCGAAAGCGUGGGGAGCAAACAGG